CUGGGGAUGGAGCUCAGUGGUAUAGCACCUGCCUCACAUGCACCAAGCCCUGGGUUCAAGGUUCAGUCCCCAGC
rnacentral:tRNA from 1 species